CCAACCAUUGAAGCCCCAACACCAACCCUUGUUUUGCUUCGUGAAUUUGGAGAUGGAUUUCGAGGAGAUGGAGAUGGAGAUGGAGAUGGAGAUGGUGCUGGAGAAGAUAUUGGACCUCCACGACGAGGUAAACGAUUCUAUCCACGCCAUCUCUAGGUCUCACUUUCUUCAAUCCGUCAAGGCCUUCGACAAGACAUAGCCGGCGAUGAAGCAGGGUGAGGUGGAGGUGGCCGGUGAAGGAGGCCAUGGUUCCUGUUAUUCAAGAUUUUCCGGGUCGCGCAUGCUACUCCCAUGGUGGAGGCUAGAAGCCUCAAUGGCAUAAGGGCCGCACUUGAGAUUCUGGAGGACCAAUUUGAGUUCUUCAUGUGAGUCUCAACAGCAAGCAGGACCCAAUGGAGCACUGACAUGAUUGGAGCAUUGCCAAAUUGUCCUGGCAAUGAAACUUUCUGAGCAUCAAGGAAAUAAGCACAAAGUCAUCAAGGAAUCUCUAUCAUUUGUCAGUGAUGUACAUUCUACCACCGACAAUUCGUAAAACCUAUUGAAAAUACCAAGAAAUCAGUCCAGCAAUUCUCGUGAAGACACAGAGUCUGUUUUUCCAUGCCAGAUGUUGUUAUCUAAAUUAUCAGCACCUAAAAAACAUACGAAAUCAGAUAAUCUCAGUGCCAUACUCACGAAUGCGGCUCUCUUAGUUAUUAGCAUGCUUGUUAUACUGCAGCUGCAUCAAGUGGCAUUCAGGAAGAGAAACCAAAAAAGAAUCUUUCCUCAGCAUUUAGAUGUAUUCUAUGCAAAAGGAUUUAAACAUCUCUAGUGAAGAUGUAAGUGAAGGAGAUGCAUGGGAGUGGUACAUGCAUUGAUGAAUGCUGUUGGUUGAGCGUGAGAAACAUGGCCACGUAGGAAGCAUGGACCAAAUGUAAGUCAUUGCAUGGAAAAAUUAUCAGGUUUCACCUCCCCCAAACAAAGGUCUCUUACUUCAGCUCCACAUCAGUCUUGUCGGUUGGUAAACCCUUCUCUCUCCUCACCAAAUUCAUUUCAUUCACCCAUGUAUUCACUCAUCAAUGAACCAACUUCCUCAUCUUCCUUACUGAUUAUUAUUAUUAUUAUUAUUAUUAUUAUUAUUAUUAUUCAGACUAUUUAUUUUUACUAUUUUUUAAUCAGAUGAUGUAUUUUUAUUUUUAUUUUUCCGCUUAAGAAUUUUUAUAUCAUAAGGUGGUAGUGUAAUCAUGUGUGAGAUUGGUGGUGCACUUGUUUCAAUGAAAGUUGAACA